CUUUACUGUAACCUGGUAUUGGGUUCGGGCUUUGACUGCGCAGGAUAGGUGGGAGACUAUGAAGCAAUCCUUGUGGGGAUUGUGGAGUCAACAGUGAGAUACCACUCUGUCAGAGCUAGAAUUCUAACCUUCACCCGUUAUCCGGGGAAGGAACCGUAUCAGGCGGGCAGUUUGACUGGGGCGGUCGCCUCCUAAAUGGUAACGGAGGCGCGCAAAGGUGUUCUCAGGCUGGUUGGAAAUCAGCCGCAGAGUGUAAAGGCAGAAGAACGCUUGACUGUGAGAGUGACAACUCGAGCAGGGUGGAAACACGGCCUUAGUGAUCCGACGGCUUGUGCGUGGAAGGGCCGUCGCUAAACGGAUAAAAGUUA
rnacentral:rRNA from 1 species